UACAGGGGGGGGCAAGCGUUGUUCGGAAUUACUGGGCGUAAAGGGCUCGUAGGCGGCCAACUAAGUCAGACGUGAAAUCCCUCGGCUUAACCGGGGAACUGCGUCUGAUACUGGAUGGCUUGAGGUUGGGAGAGGGAUGCGGAAUUCCAGGUGUAGCGGUGAAAUGCGUAGAUAUCUGGAGGAACACCGGUGGCGAAGGCGGCAUCCUGGACCAAUUCUGACGCUGAGACGCGAAAGCGUGGGGAGCGAACAGG
rnacentral:rRNA from 1 species